GAUGAAGAACGCAGCGAAAUGCGAUAAGUAAUGUGAAUUGCAGAAUUCAGUGAAUCAUCGAAUCUUUGAACGCACAUUGCGCCCGCCAGUAUUCUGGCGGGCAUGCCUGUUCGAGCGUCGUUUCAACCAUCAAGCCCCCGGCUUGUGUUGGGGACCUGCGGCUGCCGCAGGCCCUGAAAACCAGUGGCGGGCUCGCUGUCACACCGAGCGUAGUAGAUUUUCAUCUCGCUCAGGGCGUGCUGCGGGUUCCGGCCGUAAAAAGCCUUAUUUACCCAAGGUUGACCUCGGAUCAGGUAGGAAGACCCGCUGAACUUAAGCAUAUCAAUAAGCGGAGGA
rnacentral:misc_RNA from 1 species